rnacentral:hammerhead_ribozyme from 1 species
GCAUUACUGAGGAGUCCCACAAUGGGACGAAACGGCUGUCCAGUGC